GGGAAGAUGGCUCAGUAGAUGGAGCACAGGACUUGCAUGCCUGAGAUUUCACCUAUGCCAAAAUGAUGCUCUCUCUUCCCC
rnacentral:tRNA from 1 species